UACGAAGGGGGCUAGCGUUGCUCGGAAUCACUGGGCGUAAAGGUGCGUAGGCGGGUCUUAAGUCAGGGGUGAAAUCCUGGAGCUCAACUCCAGAACUGCCUUUGAUACUGAGGAUCUUGAGUUCGGGAGAGGUGAGUGGAACUGCGAGUGUAGAGGUGAAAUUCGUAGAUAUUCGCAAGAACACCAGUGGCGAAGGCCGGCUCACUGGCCCGAUACUGACGCUG
rnacentral:rRNA from 1 species